rnacentral:lncRNA from 1 species
UCUGUUAUCUAUCUUCUUCCUCCAUAACCUAAAAUAAGGAAAAAACCUAGAUGCUCGAUUAAGCCAUAGGUUCCCCUCUGAGCAAGAUCCACCCUCCCCCUUACCAUCGAUGGAACACUAUCUUUCAUUAUCCAAAUCUCACAAAAAUCAAACAAAGUUUUAUCUCACUUGUUCCUUCUCCUUUCCACCACCCCCGAAUCAGAGUAGCAUAGUUGGCUGCCUGCCACAUCUGCGAGCGUCUCCCUUAUUUUCAUCAUGGCCAGUCCGUGAAUCUG